rnacentral:lncRNA from 1 species
AUACAAUGAGAAGAUGGCCAUCUGUGGGCCGGGAGGAGGGCCCUCGCUGAGAACCUGACCAUGCUCACACCCUGGUUUUGGACCCCCAGCAUCCAGAACUCUGAGAAAUAAAGGAAUCCUGAAACACUGGCCACAAAGUUAUGCUAUGGACUCAUGCCCCUACGCAGUAAAAUAACAAUGUUAAUACUAACUUACUAUCAAUUGUUACUAGAUUGAGCAAAGAACAAUCAUUAAAAUGCCAUAGAUCCUUGAAAACAAGCAAUAAUUUCCUGAUAAAGAUGAGAUACUUUUCUUAUUCUACCAACAAGACUGCAUUUGGUGGCUUCUGUUAUACUGAAUGCCACCCAUUCCAAGUGACCACUGGGAAAGGGAAUUUCAUCUCUGCAACCUAGAAAUUACUACUCUUAAAUACAACACGUCGAUAAAUAAUUGGAAAGCUUCAUCUAUCAUCCUGCCUACUGAACUCCCCAUGGAAUGAAAAACGUCACCUUCUCAAGAUGCUUAUCUGCCCAACUGACCCUGUAACAAGCCAUUUUUCUUUAUAAAUAGUAUUUCAUGUGAAAAUACUACUUUUAGUAGGAAAAAUGGGUGGAAGAACCAUACAUUAUGAUUUUUUAAAUCUGUGGAUAUAGAAGUGAAGAUGGAGAUAAAACAGUAAAAAUAGAUAUUGAUUCCCAUGAUGUCCAUAUGAUUAGGCCAUGAACAGACAGAAAAGGAAAGAGAGAGGAUAGAGUUGGACAAGCACUGGCCUAUAAGUCCGAAAUUUCUGGAUUCCAUCCUCAUUACCUCUGACGGCGAAAUAAUCUCUUGAGGCUUCAGUGUCCUUAACUAAAAAUGAGGGGAAUACCAUCUACCUUGAAAGGCUGUUGAAGCAAUGAGGCUUUAGGCAUUUAAAGCAACUAGAAUACGC